UUUCACCACUUCAAGCCUGUUUACAUAACUAUAAAUGAAAAGGGUGUUUUCUUUCUUUCUUUAUUUUUGAGACAGGGUCUCAUUCUAUCACCCAGGUUAAGUGCAGUGGCGUGAUGAUGGCUCACUGCAGCCUCGACUUCCCAGGCUCUAGCCAUCCCUCCUACCUCAGCCCCCUGAGUAGCUGGGACCACAGGCGUGCACUACUAUGCCUGGCUAAUUUUUUUGUAAUUUUUUGUAGAGGCAAGGGUCUCUCUAUGUUGCCCAGGUUGUUCUCCAACUCCUGGACUCAAGGGAUCCUCCCACCUCAGCCUCCCAAAAUGCCAGGAUUACAGGCAUGAGCCACUGUUCCUGACCGAAAAGCGUGUUUUAAACUGAUUUUUUUUUUUUUCCCAGAGACAGGGUCUCACUCUGUCACCCAGGCUGGAGUGCAGUGGUACGAUUUUCCAGCAUAUUCUGAGUGUCUGGCUCACAGAACUUGGAUGGUCCAUCAUUCAUCACUGGCCAGGCCUUCAGGUUGAGGGAAAUAACCUCCAAAAAGCCCCAUUGCAUCCAGAGCCUGUGUCCCAAAUUAGCACCUCUCUGGAUAGCCAGGGAAGAGGGAAAACAUUCUGACAUAAGUAUGGAUUUGCUAGACUAGCUGCAUUUACAGAGCAUCUUUCUAGAUGGAACAUUUCUAUUAGAUGCUAUGGAACAUUACAAAGGAAAUAGAAGGCACCUGGAGAAAGAACAGUCAUUUCGUACCCUGUGGUUCUGUGUGGUCAUUUCUUUUUAAGGUCUAGAUUAGGAUUGUUAACAGUCCUCUGUGUGCAGUGCCUUAUAAUUUAUAGAAUACAUUCACAAACGUGAUUCCAUUUGAGUUAGAUCAAAUGGAUGUUAUCUCCGUUUUACAGAAGAGAACAUAGGAAACAGGUCACAGUCACACAAACAAAGGGACAGACUAAGGACAUAAAUCUAGGUGUUCUGUUAUGUUUCCUAGAGUGAUGGAAUUUCCUCUACACAUCACAUCAUUGGCACGUGAAAUUUUACUUUAUGGGGCUGGCUUCCUUGCA
rnacentral:lncRNA from 1 species